AAACUUAGUCCUCGUGGAAAUGGUCCAUUUUGUAUCCUUAAGAAGAUCAGAAAUAAUGCUUAUCAAUUAGAUCUUCCUAAGAAAUAUGGAGUGCACACUACCUUUAACAUAUUUGAUCUCACUCCUAUUGCAGGUGAUGAUGAAGAUGAUCAAUCUCUAGAUUUGAGGACAAAUCCUUCUCAAGAGGGAAGAAAUGAUGGAAUAAAGCCAACUAGAGCACUUCUCACAAGAGGAAUGAUCAAGAGAAUGCAAGAGGAACUUAAAGAAGAAGCUUCAAAGGAACCCAAAGUCCUAUAUGUCAAGCUUGAUUGGAAGUUAGAGGCCCAAGGAGAAGCCCAUUCUAAAACCAUGAAGCAUGAAGCCUAGGAGAACACAUCACGUUGCGGAUUGGUUUGCGCUCAAUGAACAAGGACUGGCACCCAACGACAAUGCGAGCAACUUCUUUUUCAGCACGUGUUCUUUGCUUGCAUUAUUAUUUAGCUUAUUAAAAACGUGUGUAUACGUGACAUAUGAUCCAUGAUAUGCGGCUGAUCAUCUGCUAGUGUGCAUCCUCAUGCCAAGGUGUUGAAUGGCCUAUAAAUCCAAUACCUCCUCCAUUGUGUAAACACUUUUGAUGCAUC
rnacentral:lncRNA from 1 species